ensembl:processed_transcript 1700003G18Rik RIKEN cDNA 1700003G18 gene
GAGGCUACGCUUUCUUCGGCGUGUAGAGGGAGCUUUCCCGUGGAUGGGUAUGGUGGUGAUCGUUGGCGGAGAACUUCGUUGCCACAGACAGACCUAGAUUACAGAUGUGCGUCUGGAUUUUAAAAAGUAUCAUCACCAUUAUCAUCAUCGUCAUCGUCAUCAUCAUCUAUGUGGGGGAGUACUGAUAUUUUGCCUGCAUAUAUGCCUGAGUACCACAUCUGUGAGUUAGACAGUUGCGAGACACCAUGUAUAUGCUGAGAACUGAACCUGGGUCCUCCAGAAGGGAUAGUCAGUACUCUGAGCACGGCUUUCUCGACAGAUUCUGAACAACAGUUUUCAACUUAGAGCUUUGAAGAUGAUAGAAGUCCAGAAUAUUCAAAGCUAAUCUGUGUAUUAGAAUGAGCAAUAGGAAGAUCCGUGUCUGGUGGGCAAAAAGGCCCAAAGAAAAUUAAAGAAUACACCAUGCAGAGCUGCUGGUAGGUAACCACGGGGCAUAUAGAAAACCAUCAGGUUUUUAUGGAGCAAAACAAUGAACUUGACAAAAGGAACUUGGAAAAUUUAGUAAUCAUAGGAUAAAUGGGAAAUCUGUCAAAUAAAAAGGUUCAUGGAAGCAAUAUUUUUUUUCUAGAGCAA